AUUGAACUCUGGCGGCAGGCCUAACACAUGCAAGUCGAACGCGUGGCGGACGGGUGAGUAAUGUCUGGAUAACUGGCCGAUGGAGGGGGAUAACUACUGGAACCGGUAGCUCAUACCGCAUACCAUCGGAUUCGCCCAGAUUGCAUUAGCGAGUAGGUGGGGUAACGGCGCACCUCGGCGACGAUCCCUAGCGGGUCGGAGAGGAUGACCAGCCACACUGAAACGUGGACAGGGACCAGAAUCCUACGGGAGGCAGAAGUGGAGAAAAGUGCACAAUGGGCGCAAGCCUGAUGCAGCCAUGCGGCGUGUAUGAAGAAGGCCUUCGGGUUGUAAAGUACUUUCAGCGAGGAGGCGUUACGCGCAGAAGAAGCACCGGCUAACUCCGUGCCAGCAGCCGCGGUAAUAC
rnacentral:rRNA from 1 species